rnacentral:rRNA from 1 species
GACGAACGCUGGCGGCGUGCCUAAUACAUGCAAGUAGAACGCUGAAGCUUGGUGCUUGCCCCGAGCGGAUGAGUUGCGAACGGGUGAGUAACGCGUAGGUAACCUGCCUGGUAGCGGGGGAUAACUAUUGGAAACGAUAGCUAAUACCGCAUAAGAGUAGAUGUUGCAUGACAUUUGCUUAAAAGGUGCAAUUGCAUCACUACCAGAUGGACCUGCGUUGUAUUAGCUAGUUGGUGAGGUAACGGCUCACCAAGGCAACGAUACAUAGCCGACCUGAGAGGGUGAUCGGCCACACUGGGACUGAGACACGGCCCAGACUCCUACGGGAGGCAGCAGUAGGGAAUCUUCGGCAAUGGACGGAAGUCUGACCGAGCAACGCCGCGUGAGUGAAGAAGGUUUUCGGAUCGUAAAGAUCUGUUGUAAGAGAAGAACGAGUGUGAGAGUGGAAAGUUCACACUGUGACGGUACCUUACCAGAAAGGGACGGCUAACUACGUG